rnacentral:rRNA from 1 species
UGGGGAAUAUUGAACAAUGGGCGCAAGCCUGAUCCAGCCAUGCCGCGUGAGUGACGAAGGCCUUAGGGUUGUAAAGCUCUUUUUGGCGGGGAAGAUAAUGACGGUACCCGCAGAAUAAGCUCCGGCUAACUUCGUGCCAGCAGCCGCGGUAAUACGAAGGGAGCUAGCGUUGUUCGGAAUCACUGGGCGUAAAGCGCACGUAGGUGGGCAGUUAAGUCAGGGGUGAAAGCCCGAGGCUCAACCUCGGAAUUGCCUCUGAUACUGGCUGUCUAGAGUUCGAGAGAGGUGAGUGGAAUUCCUAGUGUAGAGGUGAAAUUCGUAGAUAUUAGGAAGAACACCAGUGGCGAAGGCGGCCAACUGGCUCGAUACUGACGCUGAGGUGCGAAAGCGUGGGGAGCAAACAGGAUUAGAUACCCAUGUAGUCCCUGAGCGGGCUGGCAAGGCGCAU